rnacentral:rRNA from 1 species
CCUACGGGAGGCUGCAGUGAGGAAUAUUGGUCAAUGGCCGUAAGCCUGAACCAGCCAAGUAGCGUGAGGGAAGACUGCCCUAUGGGUUGUAAACCUCUUUUAUGCGGGGAUAAAGGUCUCUACGUGUGGAUGUUUGCCGGUACCGCAUGAAUAAGGAUCGGCUAAUUCCGUGCCAGCAGCCGCGGUAAUACGGAGGAUUCAAGCGUUAUCCGGAUUUAUUGGGUUUAAAGGGUGCGUAGGCGGUCGGAUAAGUUAGAGGUGAAAUCUCGAGGCUCAACUUCGGAAUUGCCUUUGAUACUGUGCGGCUAGAGAACAGAUGCGGGAGGCGGAAUAUAUGGUGUAGCGGUGAAAUGCGUAGAUAUCAGACAGAACACCGAUUGCGAAGGCAGCUUACCAAGCUAAUUCUGACGUUGAGGCACGAAAGCGUGGGGAGCAAACAGGAUUAGAUACCCCAGUAGUC